GUGCCACUAGCUCAGGCGGCAGAGCACCUGCCUUUUAAGCAGGGUGUCCCGGGUUCGAUUCCCGGGUGGCACACCA
rnacentral:tRNA from 2 species